GCAGGAGGACGGGACGCUCCGGUCAGCGCCAGACGUCUCUCCUCCUCCUCCUCCUCCUCCUCCUCCGCGGGGCUGCGGUGUCGCUUCAUCCGAUUCUCGCGAUGCGGACGAGGGAGGCGUCGACCCGCCGAUAUCAACAGGGCAAGUGAGACUUCCACUUUAUGGUCCACCUUCUCGUUCCUGGCCUGGUAUUUAGAGAGAACCUGAAGGUCGAGAGAAAAAAACGCCAGCGACGGAAAGCUGGGAUGAAGAGAAAGAAAAAGACGAAGAAAAGGAGGAAGGCUACUUGUGCCACGUCUGACCUUCUGGCAUUUCUGUUUACGAGUCCUGAAGAAGACAAAAAACCUUUGGAGGGUCAACUUCCAAGUCGUGCGGGUUCCAUGGACCACCAAGGUUUGACAUCACUGCGAGCAGCUGGGCGACCCACGCACCUGAUGAUAUUUGCAGCGUCGCCCCCUCGCCGCCAUCUUGGAGCGGGCUCCGGUGUGCCCUGCCUCGCUGUUGGACUGCCGGCUCCGCCUCUCCACACCUUUAAAAGCCGUUUUAUUCAAUCAACCAAUCAAAAGUUGUUUAUAUAGCCCUUAAUCACAAGGAUAUCCCCUGUUCUGAACCUACAUUUACAUUAUAAAUAUGUCACUUGUCAAUUAGUAUACAUUUAUAUAAUUUAUUAAUAUACAUAAUAAUUCAGUUCAGUUCAGUUCAGUUUCAGUUUAUUUGGAACAUGCAUACGAUACAAUGUAAUGCAUCACACAUUUCCAGUUGUUUCAUUACAGCACGUCCGAAAAGGAGUAGGAAGAAGCAGAGCUUAUUUAAUCCUACCCCUUUUCAUACCGUAGCAAUUUUAUCCAAUUUCCUUGUUCUCUGUAACAUAACAGUGAACAAAUAAAUAAUAAAUAGAUAAUAUACCAUAGUAAGCAAACAAAUAUUAAAUACACAAAUAAUCUUUGUCUCAAUAAAAAAAAUACAUGAGCCAUUUUACUCAUUUGUGACAUUAUCUAAUCAAAAGGCCUUCAAAAGCAUUAAAAUACAAAUUUAAAAAAAUCUUACAUGUUUACUAUUUUUGUUUAGAAUAUUGAGAAAUUUGAGCAAAAAAGUUUUAAAAUUAUGAAUGCAAAAAGUGUUUUCAUGCCCUUCAAACACUUUUGAAAUGAAAUCGAAUGUUGCCCGAGAGCUAAAAAUACAUUUUUAUAAAUGGUUUUAGGCCAUCUCUGCGCUUACCAGCUGUGCGCAAAGGUCAUAAGUAAGCGGCCAUAAGAAGCCUUUAUAACCUCUAACCUUUUUUGAAAAAGUUGUAUUAUUAUUUUGAUACCAAAUGAUAUAUUGCGAGAAUCAGUUUGACUCACUUCAAGUAUCGGAUUCGAAUCAGAUCGUGAGUUGUUGUAAGAUUCCCAUCCCUAUGUCAAAUGGGUGCUGUCAAUUUUUUUGUAAUCACAUGGUUAUUACUAGCUAACCAUCCAUCCAUUUUCUACCGCUUAUUCCCUUCGGGGUUGCGGGGGGCGCUGGAGCCUAUCUCAGCUAUAAUCGGGUGGAAGGCGGGGUACACCCUGGACAAGUCGCCACCUCAUCGCAGGGCCAACACUGAUAGACAUUCACACUCACAUUCACACUCUAAGGCCAAUUUAGUGUUGCCAAUCAAACAUUAUUUAAUUUACUUAAAAAAAAGACUCCAAUAUUUGAACACUAAUGCAAUUUUAUUGUCAGAACGUUGUACAGUAUUUUAUUUUUAUUUUGAUUAGCUCAAAACUCGCUCAAAACAGUUUUAUCUAAAGUGCCGCCAGGUUGUGUUUUCGAAAUUUGCACACGAGCACAUCAGUUCGGAGUCUCCUCUUAAAUCUUCGCACUGACGUGUGCAUGGACUGUAGUGUACGUACAACCACCCCGGGAGGGACAAGCGGUAGAAAAUGGAGGGAUGGAGUACAGUGCAUGCGGAAAGUAUUCACAGCGCUUCACCUUUUCCACAAUUUGUUAUGUUCCAGCCUUAUUCCAAAAUGGAAUAAAUUCAUUUUUGUCCUCAAAAGUCUACACACAAUACUCCAAAUAAAUUGCGUGGUUAACCUGCGUAUACACAUGAAUAAUGUGAUCGUUUAUUGUGAUUAAUCACAUAGGUUCAUUUGUUGUUUUCCCUCGUAUAAUGCAAGGAUAGAGAGAGAUGCUUUGUAUUACUUUUUUUGGUAACACUUUAGUAUGGGGAACACAUAUUCACCAUUAUUUAGUUGCUUAUUAACAUGCAAAUUAGUAACAUAUUGAUUCUUAAUUAGUCAUUCUUAAGUAUUUAUUAAUGCCUUAUUAUGCAUGGCCUUAUUAUACUGAUUAACUAAGAGUCUUCUCUCAAUAACCUCAGAAUUAUUGCUUACUAGUAACCCUAACCCUUAUAUGUUCCCCUAGAGUCCAAAUAACUGUAAAUUAAGUAUUUGUUACUUUAAUAAGCAAAUAAUUAAUGGUGAAUAUGUUCCCCAUACUAAAGUGUGACCCUGUUUUUCUUUUUUUUUAAGUCCCGGUUCCAUGAAUCCUUUGUCAUAUUUUGCACAUUUUUACCAUCCUGUAUAAUCUAAUAAUAAAAUAAAAUAAUUCCCCCUUGGACAAAUGCUGUGAGUAAUAAGGUGAUUUGUAUGACACAUAGGGAGAAUGACUCACAAAGUGUGUGAGCAUGACUUUUCACUAACCAGCCUUGACAAGCUAAUUGGCUUUAAUACGGAACAUUACCAGAAGAGAAAUAUCCUUGAAUAUUGUCAGUUUCAUUAUGAAUACUUCUCCCUGAUAUGUUCCCCUCAUGCUCUUUGGAGUGACAGUGCCUUCCUGGUAAGUGAAGAGCAUAAUUUUGCCCGCUGUAAUGACACAGAACCAUUCAGCAGGCGUCUGAUAAUUGCCAGAUCUCGGCUGGAGGAAUAUUAGGCAGAAACUCUCACUCACCUUUCCGGCUUUUUCUUCCUAUUUCUUGCGGUGGGCAUGCUGUUUUGACCGACGUCCUCCAGAUCAGAGCAAAGCGUGUACGUUAUUCGAGCCGUGGGACACCUUAGAGCUUUUUUAAAAUGUGAAAAUUAGAAAUCCAACCCAAUCCAAUCCACUUUAUUUGUAUAGCACAUUUAAACGACAAAAAUGCUUCCAAAGUGCUGCACAACAAUAUUAAAAACAAUAUUCAAAUAUUAUCCUUAGCUCCACCAAAGACUGAAUAAAAAACAAAAAAUAAAUACAUAAAAAACCAAUAUAAAAAUAAAUUUGACACUAAAUUGGCCCUAGUGUGUGAAUGUGAGUGUGAAUGUUGUCUGUCUAUCUGUGUUGGCCCUGCAAUCAGGUGGUGACUUGUCCAGGGUGUACGCCGCCUUCCGCCCGAUUGUAGCUGAGAUAGGCUCCAGCGCCCCCUGCGACCCCGAAGGGAAUAAGCGGUAGAAAAUGGAUGGAUAGAUGGAUGAUUAAAAACGAUUUUAAAGGGUAAAACCAAUUAAAACCGUGAAUAGAAAUCAAAAAAAUUUAAAAACACAGAGGACAACAGAGGACAGAGGACCACACAACUCACGUAGUGUUCAAAGCCAAAGAAUAAAAGUGGGUCUUAAAGGGGAACAUUAUCACAAUUUCAGAAGGGUUAAAACCAUUAAAAAUCAGUUCCCAGUGGCUUAUUUUAUUUUUCGAAGUUUUUUUCAAAAUUUUACUCAUCACGCAAUAUCCCUAAAAAAAGCUUCAAAGUGCCUGAUUUUAACCAUCGUUAUAUACACCCGUCCAUUUUCCUGUGACGUCACAUAGUGAUGCCAAUACAAACAAACGUGGCGGUUAGAACGGCAAGGUAUAGCGGCAUUAGCUCGGAUUCAGACUCGGAUUUCAGCGGCUUAAGCGAUUCAACAGAUUACGCAUGUAUUGAACCGGAUGGUUGUAGUGCGGAGGCAGGUAGCGAAAACAAAAUUGAAGAAGAAACUGAAGCUAUUGAGCCACAUCGGUUUGAACCGUAUGCAAGCGAAACCGACGAAAACGACACGACAGCCAGCGACACGGGAGAAAGCGAGGACGAAUUCGGCGAUCGCCUUCUAACCAACGAUUGGUAUGUGUUUGUUUGGCAUUAAAGGAAACUAACAAUUAUGAACUAGGUUUAUAGCAUAUGAAAUACAUUUGGCAACAACAUGCACUUUGAGAGUGCAGACAGCCCAGUUUUCAUCAAUUAAUAUAUUCUGUAGACAUACCCUCAUCCACUCUCUUUUCCUGGGGGUCUGGUGGCAGAUUUCUUUGACUUUAUCGUUGGAAAUGCAUCUGCUUUGAGUGUCGCAGGAUAUCCACACAUUCUUGCCAUCUCUGUCGUAGCAUAGCUUUCGUCGGUAAAGUGUGCGGAACAAACGUCCAAUUUCUUGCCACUUUCGCAUCUUUGGGCCACUGGUGCAACUUGAAUCCGUCCCUGUUCGUGUUGUUACACCCUCCGACAACACACCGACGAGGCAUGAUGUCUCCAAGGUACGGAAAACAGUCGAAAAAACGGAAAAUAACAGAGCUGAUUUGACUCGGUGUUUGUAAUGUGUUUGAGAAAAUGGCGGAUUGCUUCCCGAUGUGACGUCACAACGUGACGUCAUCGCUCCGAGAGCGAAUAAUAGAAAGGCGUUUAAUUCGCCAAAAUUCACCCAUUUAGAGUUCGAAAAUCGGUUAAAAAAAUAUAUGGUAUACAACAUCAACAACAUCAAGGUAUAUAUUGACGCUUACAUAGGUCUGGUGAUAAUGUUCCCCUUUAAGACGAGACUUAAGGAGGCAGAGUGUUCCAGAGCUUAGGGCCGACCACAGAGAAGGCCCUGUCUCCCCUGGUUUUAAGUCUGGUCUUGGGCACCACAAGCUGGAGCUGGCUCUGGGACCUCAGAGCGCGCUCAGGAGUGUAAAUUUGGAUGAGGUCCGGAGAUAUAUUGAGGUGCCAGUCCAUGUAAAGCUUUAAAAACAAACAGCAAGGUUUUAAAACCAAUUCUAAAAUGAACAGGGAGGCAGUGCAAAGUCUGAAGAAUUGGGGUUAUAUGCUGGCGUUUCCUUGCCCCUGUUAAGAGUCGUGCUGCCGCGUUCUGGACUAACUGCCACCGGGAGAGAGCUUUUUGGCUAAUGCCAGCAUAAAGUGCAUUGCAGUGGUCCAGAAAGCGGGACGGCUGGGGAGCUCAACUUGAAUGUGUCAUUUUGGAAGUGUAGGCAGCCUGUAAGUAAUUAUUUUUUAUUUUAUUUUUUUUAUUUUGCACAAGAAGGAGCUCAGCGUUGGUCCAAUAAACUUCUAGCCGUCCCACUCCCUCCACCACGCCAGUGCAUUGUCGCUCCGCCAUUGUGGCCCCGCCAUUGUGGUCCCGCCAUUGUGGCCCCGCCAUUGUGGCCCCGCCAUUGUGAGAGCUCGCUCAGGCACCCCAGAGAGCAUCAAUGGCGCCGAUAACUUAAAGAUGCUUCCAGCACGGGCUGUCACUCCCCGUAUUGUUGGCUCUGACAGCGCCUCUGAUGAGGACAUUGUGAGGGGACAGACUCGCCACGGCAGGAAGUACACGUGUUUAGGGGCGGGGGGGCUGUGGGGGUGUUUUUGUUUGGAUCACAGUCUGCCAUCAAAGUGACUUGCACAUUUUGGUUGCUCUUUCUCUUUGACUUUUAACUAAAAAUGCAUACAAAAAUAGUUUUAAAAAAAAAUAAAAAUAAAAAAAAAGAUUACAUAGUAUCAAAUAUUGUAGGUAUUUUUGAAAUGGAAAUCGGGAUUUGUCGUUGGAGAGAUUGAACUGUCACUCAGACAUGUCCCAUUUAUCACAUGUGGAAACGCUAAAUGUGCAGUGGAAUGUAUGUUCCCUUCAUUUGUGACGCCUCAUUGUAAGGCUGUCAUAUAGGACUCCUCCCAACAAAUAUUAACAAUAGAAAUAACAAGGUUUGUAUUAUAAAAGGUCAUUAUUAUACAAGGUCAUUAUUAUACAAGGUCAUUAUUAUGCAAGGUCUCAAUCUGAUCCCAAUCCACUUUAUUUAUAUAGCACAUUUCAGAAAACAAUAGAAGUUUCACUAUAUAAAUACAUUUUGAUUGAUUGAUUGAUUGAUUGAUUGAUUGAUUGAUUGAUUGAUUGAUUGAUUUGCAUGCGCAGUGCAAUAAAGAGAAAACAAAGGAAGUUGACCGGGAGGAAGUCACUACUACUACAAAAUAAAAGUCGCCACACUUUAAAAUUAGCAUUUUUUUUACGUGAAAAUAAAAUUAAAGAAAAUCAAAUGUAUUAAUGGAUGCAUAUAGUGUGAUGUAUUUGGGAGGGUUCUAAUCUUUUAAUGGCUGUUAAAGGCCUACUGAAAUGCAAUUUUCUUAUUCAAACGGGGAUAGCAGGUCCAUUCUAUGUGUCAUACUUGAUCAUUUUGCGAUAUUGCCAUAUUUUUGCUGAAAGGAUUUAGUAGAGAACAUCAACGAUAAAGUUCGCAACUUUUGGUCGCUGAUAAAAAAGCCUUGCCUGUACCGGAAGUAGCAGACGAUAUGCGCGUGACGUCACAGGUUGUGGAGCUCCUCACAUCCGCACAUUGUUUACAAUCAUGGCCACCGGCAGCGAGAGCGAUUCGGACCGAGAAAGCGACGAUUUCCCCAUUAAUUUGAGCGAGGAUGAAAGAUUUGUGGAUGAGGAAAGUGAGAGUGAAGGACUAGAGGGCAGUGGGAGCGAUUCAUAUAGGGAAGAUGCUGUGAGAGGCGGGUGAGACCUGAUAUUCAGCUGGGAAUGACUAAAACAGUAAAUAAACACAAGACAUAUAUAUACUCUAUUAGCCACAACACAACCAGCCUUAUAUUUAAUAUGCCACAAAUUAAUCCCGCAUAACAAACACCUCCCCCCUCCCGUCCAUAUAACCCGCCAAUACAACUCAAACACCUGCACAACACACUCAAUCCCACAGCCCAAAGUACCGUUCACCUCCCCAAAGUUCGUACAGCACAUAUAUUUCCCCAAAGUCCCCAAAGUUACGUACGGGACAUGCACAUAGCGGCACGCACGUACGGGCAAGCGAUCAAAUGUUUGGAAGCCGCAGCUGCAUGCGUACUCACAGUACCGUGUCUGCGCAUCCAACUCAAAGUCCUCCUGGUAAGAGUCUCUGUUGUCCCAGUUCUCCUCAGGCCAAUGGUAAAGCUUGACUGUCAUCUUCCGGGAAUGUAAACAAUGAAACACCGGCUGUGUUUGUGUUGCUGCAGUCGGCCGCAAUACACCGCUUCCCACCUACAGCUUUCUUCUUUGCUGUCUCCAUUGUUCAUUGAACAAAUUGCAAAAGAUUCACCAACACAGAUGUCCAGAAUACUGUGGAAUUUUGCGAUGAAAACAGACGACUUAAUAGCUGGCCACCAUGCUGUCCCAAAAUGUCCUCUACAAUCCGUGACGUCACGCGCUGACGUCAUCAUACCAAGACAUUUUCAGCAGGAUAUUUCGCGCGAAAUUUAAAAUUGCUGUAUAUAGUGUAAUAUAUUUGGGAGGGUUCUAAUCUUUUAAUGGCUGUUAAAUAGAUGAGACAAGGACAUCCGCGUGGAUCUACAUGAGCUUUAUUUUUCAACUCACAAGUAAGCAAAAUGCAACACGGCGUCAAUUCCGGUCUUUCGAAAUUCACUAUUUCUUCGGAAUCAAAAUUUGUAUUCAUAUAUUACAUAUAGACUAUUAUUUGUGCACUAUUGACUAGUGAUGCACCGGAAAUUCGGUCGUCUUAAAUAGACUUUACUCACCGAAACCGGAUGUUGUGAUGAAGCAUCCACUUCCGCUGGCUAACGGAAAAAUCACAUAUGGGUCGCAUUGCGUUUGGACUGAAGUCACAUUUGAAAAGAUCAGAUUCCAAUUGGAUUUGGACUACACACACACACACACACACACACACACACACACACACACACACACACACACACACACACACACACACACACACACUCUGUCUCUCUCGCACACACACGCAAACACAUGCGCACACACACAAAUUCUUGUAUUUCUUACCUUCUUGAGACCUCCAAAAAAUGCCUACCUCUUUAGGACCACCCUUUCUAGAUAUAUAAAGAUUUGUAUUUACAACAUGAAUAAUAUAUACAUACUAAGCUUGUUGUGAAAAAUGAGUUGGAAUUUCACAAGAAAAAGGUCACAAUUUCACAAGAAAAACUUUUUAGGCAGUAUUAUAAUAAAAGUAAUUUUACUCAGCGCAAGUCAAAAUUUUACAAGAAAAACUGAACAUUUGUGCAAUAUUAUGAUAAAAGUUGGAAUUUUACUCAAUAACAAAUUUUACAAGGAAAGCUUAAAAUUUUGGCAAUUUAAUGAAAAAAGUUGUAAUUUUACUGGCAAAAGUCACAAUUUUAUAGGAAAACUUAAAUAGUUUGUCAAUAUUAUAAUAGAUAUCAGAAUUUUGCUUGGCAAAAGUAUGACAAAAUUCAUUAUUUUACUCAAAAAAUGUCACUAUAUUACAAGAACAACAAAGAAUAUUGGCAAUAUUGUGAUAAAAGUCAGAAUUUUAUAUGACAAAUGUUACCAUUUUGCAUUAAAAAUAAAUAAUUGUACAUAAAAAAGUAAUUAUGUUACGAGAAAAUAUUGCAUUAUUACAGAAACAGAAAGAAUAUGAGAAAUUGCUCCCAAUUUUAUAAGAAAAAAGUCGACACAUUGUGAGAAAGACUGCUUUUAGUGAUUUUUUUUUUUCUGAAUUUUUGGUUUUUAAAUGAUUUUUAAUCUUCAUUAUUUACUUUAAGUUAUUACAGUAUGUCUCUAUAUACAUAUUUAUUUAUUUAUUUUAAUUCAUUUUGGCCAAAGGGGGCGCAUUUAAAUUUCUUACACACACUUGUUAUUACAUAUGUUGGCCAGAGAGGGAGCACUUCAAAUUAUUACACACACUUGUUAUUUCAUAUGUUGGCCAGAGGGGGAGCACGUUUAAAUCCGACACACAGUCAAUUUGAAAAAUCCCUCCUUUUUGGGACCACCCUAAUUUUGAUAGAUUUCACCACCAGAGGUGCAAAUGAGAUCUCUAUUUUUAGUUUUUUGUAAUGUGCUUAAGGCCGAUGACAAAGGAGUCACGGACCACAGAUGGCCCCCGUGCCGGACUUUGGGCAACACAGCUGUAGAAGCUAACUGUUAAUGGCCACUAUAGUCUCAGUAACGUAGUGUAUUUGUUCAUUCUUUGGUCACAAAUGGGACGCGGGUUGUCUUAUAUCAGCAACGGAAUUCGUAAAAUCAGCUGUUCACCUGGCGGGUUUUUUCGGGGAUGAAUAGGAAAGUCCUUCUCUAGCUGCCGUCUUGUUUUAUCGUGUAUUGCUACCUUUGCCCUUGUCAAUGUUAACUUUUGUAUGCACAUUAAAUCACAAAAAAUCCUGACUUUGGAGCAAUGUUCACGGACUCUAGUAUUUGGCUCUCUAGUAGAUGCAAUGGUUUUCCGUAUCGAGACCAUGAUUUCGGUCCUAACUUGUUCACCGGUCCUCAUAUGGAAGGUACUUUUCCUUGUUGAUGUCUCAAGAAGGGUAGAAAUACAAGAACAUACACACACACAUUUACAUUUAAAAAAAUAUAUAGGUGAUUUUGUUGUUCCCACAUGAGAACAAUGUGAGAACGUUGUGUGUGCAAAGCAUUGAUUUCCUAUGUCAAUACCCUUCUCUGGGAUAUGAACUUUUCCUCCGUGGCAGUAAUGAUAUAGGUGUUUACUUUUAUGAAAUAUUUGACAGCAGUUCUGUGAUGGGUUUUGGACUGAGACUGGACUAGUCUGUGUUGUACCUCGCCUACGUGAGCAUGAAAAGACUGCAAGAACAGAGCAGAUAUGAAUGAAAAGAUAUUGAAGGAGGGAUUGCCGUCCUAGCACUGUUUGUGUGGCAGUGUGUGUGUGUAUGUGUGUGUGUGUGUGUGUGUGUGUGCACACGCGUGGGUGUGUGUUCUUUUCAGGUCCUAAGAGCUCUUAUCCCCGAGCAGUAAAAUAUAGAGCACAACACUCCAAGACCUUGACGGUCAUUUCAUCUUCCUCCAAAUGUCACAAUUUCACAGACCUUUGUUGCAUCCAGCCUGAGCUUGUGUGUGUGUGUGUGUGUGUGUGUGUGUGUGUGUGUGUGUGUGUGUGUGUGUGUGUGUGUGUGUGUGUGUGUGUGUGUGUGAGAGAGAGAGAGAGAGAGAGAGAGAGAGAGAGAGAGAGAGAGAGAGCGAGAGAGAAAUGGGUAAGGACAGGUAAGGACAAAUCACGCAAAUGUUAAUUUCAUAAUUGUCAACCUUGCUUUUUUGCAUCAACAGCAAAAGUCAUAUCAAGGUACCUUUUAUAUCCUCCUGAGAACCAUGCGCGUCCUCUGCAGUGGACAUUUUUGGUCUAUUUCUUAAUAGCCCUGUUAUGCAAAACACAAAUGUCCACUGUAGCGGACACUGAAAUCAAGGUAAACAAAAUGCAAGUUCUUAUUUUUCGCUAACAGGACAGUUGUACAGUAUUUACAAUAACAAAAAGCUAAAUAAUGUACGUUUCUCAUUUUAAUAGUAUAUUUGAACAGGGACCAUGCGCAAGUUUUAGUUACAAAGCUAGUUUUGUCAUAUAUAUAUAUUUUUAAAUCCAGACGAAUUCAAUUAAUAUUGAAUAUCUAAAAUCAAGGAUUAUGUUUAUUGACUAACUGUUGCUUGCAACGUGACCCCAGGAUACAGAGACAGGAGACGGUGCGCAGGUAAUACGAUUCAUUUAGCACAGCAACAACAAAUAGUGCAGCUAAAGAGUGCACAGGGAGAAAACACCCGUUUCAGUAGCAUAGCCACUAAACAAUAAAAGACGACGUAGAAGAACAGGGCGGGCAUAUAAAACAGUCCUGAUUGGCAACCAGGGACAAGUGUGUCCUGAUUGCCGAUCAGGGGCAGGUGAGGGGGGCCUCGCUCAGGUCAGAGAAGAAGUGGCAGGAAAUGAAAACACACAUGAAGUGGAAACAGGAGCGCUGGAACAGAAAUAACACCAAGCAAAGGAAAAUAAACACAAAAUAAUAAUUUUUUCCAACCAGUCUUUAUAACGAUAGUAUAUCCAAGUAACCAGUAUACCAAAAUCUUCUCUUGACAUUAAUCUUUAGGAAUUAAUUUAGUUUGAACAUCUACUGGCUGACAGUUUGCUUCACGUUUACCAGGAGGGAGGAGACUCAGGGUUUUUUUCAGGAGAACCUGACAGCUAGCAGGUUAGCUUCAGAGUUUGAUGUAUAUCUUGUUUUAGAAUAGAAAACCCCUCAGUUUUUUUCAUCUCAGGCUUUACAUACCUCAGGCAUGUGAAAUGUCCAUGAAAAAGCGGAAAUCCGCAUUUUUAAACAGUAAUUUUUGCGUAAAUUAUCCUCUGCAUUUGACCCAUCACCUUGUUCCACCCCCUGGGAGGUGAGGGGAGCAGUGAGCAGCAGCAGUGGCCACGCUCAGAAAUCUUUUGGUGAUUUAACCCCCAAUUCCAACCCUUGAUGCUGAGUGCCAAGCAGGGAGGUAAUGGGUGCCAUUUUUAUAGUCUUUGGUAUGACUCGGUCGGGGUUUGAACUCACGACAUUCCAGUCUCAGGGCGGACAAUCUAACCACUAGGCCACUGAGGUACCCGCAGGUACUCGCUGUUCCUCUUGCCUAACCAGGUAACUAGCAAACUUGUUUUGGUGCUCCAGAAUAAAUAGAGGAGAACAAGUUAAGAUCAUGGUUGAGAGCACCAAAAUAAGCUUGCUCGUCAGCAUCGUCGAGCGAGCUUACUUGCUGUCGCCUCCAACGUUGACGGCUGUCCACUUUGCUGCUGAUCAUAUUUGGAUGAUUACAAUCCGAACACAGUUCCUUCGAAACCAGUUGUAGUUCUAGAGCAGGGGUGUCCAAACUUUUUGACUUGGUGUCCGCAUUGGGCUAAAAAAAAAGCAGACUGCGUGUAAAGUGACUAAUAUAUGUCAUGUCUGUGUGAUCAUGUUUUGUUUUAGUCAUGUUCGGUUUUGUUUUUGGACUUUUUGUGCACUUUUGUUUGUUUUGUCACCAUAGCAACCAUUAGUUUCACCUGGUUCACAUCUUCAUGUCACGCACCUGUCUCACAUUUUCACAUUUUGAGUCACGCACCUGCUGUCACUAAUCAUGUCACUAUUAUUUAAGCUUCCAGUUGCCAGGCUGUCUUUCUGGCGACAUCACACUUUAUCAUCACUCUGCUUCAUGCCAUGUUCACAGUUCCUUGCCAAGUAAGUUUUUGUUUCAUGUUCAUAGGUUUUUGCCUUUUUGCAAGUUUUGUUUCAGUAGUCAAGUUUGUUCUCCGCCUUUGUGCACGCCUUUUGUUUUUAUAGCCAAGUUGUUUUACCUCCGCUGUGAGCGCCUUUUGUUUAUACCUUUUUUUGAGCUUUUUGAGUUAAAAUAUUAAACAUGUACUCACAUUCACGUCUUGCCCGAGCCAACUUUCCGUUGCAUUCUGGGAAA